GACGAACGCUGGCGGCGUGCUUAACACAUGCAAGUCGAACGGAAAGGCCCUGCUUUUGUGGGGUGCUCGAGUGGCGAACGGGUGAGUAACACGUGAGUAACCUGCCCUUGACUUUGGGAUAACUUCAGGAAACUGGGGCUAAUACCGGAUAGGAGCUCCUGCUGCAUGGUGGGGGUUGGAAAGUUUCGGCGGUUGGGGAUGGACUCGCGGCUUAUCAGCUUGUUGGUGGAGUAGUGGCUUACCAAGGCUUUGACGGGUAGCCGGCCUGAGAGGGUGACCGGCCACAUUGGGACUGAGAUACGGCCCACACUCCUACGGGAGGCAGCAGUGGGGAAUAUUGCACAAUGGGCGGAAGCCUGAUGCAGCAACGCCGCGUGCGGGAUUACGGCCUUCGGGUUGUAAACCGCUUUCGCCUGUGACGAAGCGUGAGUGACGGUAAUGGGUAAAGAAGCACCGGCUAACUACGUG
rnacentral:rRNA from 1 species